GUUAACGCUGGCGGCGUGCCUUACACAUGCAAGUCGAACGGGGGCUAUCAGCGAUGGUAGCCUAGUGGCGAACGGGUGAGGAAGACGCAGGGACCUACCGACCAGAGGGGGAUACCCGCUGGAAACGGCGGAUAAAACCGCAUACGCCCGGGUGAAAGCCCGGGGAAAAGCACUACGGUGUUACUGGACGAGGGACCUGCGGCCCAUCAGGUAGUUGGGGAGGUAACGGCUCACCAAGCCGACGACGGGUAUCUGGCGUGAGAGCGCGAACAGGCACAAGGACACUGAGAGACGGGUCCUACUCCUACGGGAGGCAGCAGUGGGGAAUAUUGGACAAUGGGCGAAAGCCUGAUCCAGCCAUGCCGCGUGAUAGAUGAAGGCCCUCUGGGUUGUAAAUAUCUUUUAUCUGGGAAGAAACCCCUCGUUUCUACGAGGCUUGACGGUACCAGAGGAAUAAGCACCGGCUAACUCCGUG
rnacentral:rRNA from 1 species